CCAAAGAUUAAGAAACCCGCGGUAGUAAUUAUUAUAAUAUUAUUAUCUUUGUAUGAAACUAAUAAUCAACAUCCAACACAAUCAACGGUAGCAGCAUGUACCUAUUAAUUUGUUUGGGUAGCAGUUGUGAGUUGUGACUUGUGUUUGUCAGUUAUUUUCUGUUGUUUUCAAAUUGAGAACUGAGAAGGCCUGCUUUAUGCGACGAGAGUAAAGAUCUUGUGAAUAUUAAUCGACUGUGGAUAUAUCUUGGAUAUUAUGUAAGUAGUUUACUUCAAAUAAUAUAUUUUACGUGUUAGCCUAACCAUGAACUUUUUAUUAAAUUUUAAGUGUUGAAAUGUUUUCCUUUCAUUUUAAACCAUGAAACUAAUCUAGCAAAGUACCUAUUAUUAAGGAAAAAGUAUGGAAUAAUUAACAAUACUUCUAAUCACUAUCAUUAUUUCCAGAUUACACCUACUGAUCAUAUUUGCCAUGCAUGCUGGCAACUUGCGUAUCAUGCAUCUACUGAAAAUAUGUCCAGCAGCAGCAGCGGUUGGCCAUCAUAAUAUCUGUGUUGUAUCAUGUGGAUUAUCCAUAGUAAUAGCAAAUCGAUGUAGAAUUUUAAUUGAAGGGACAAAUGAAGAACAACAAAGAGUGGCUUCUAUAGUAUCUUCUUGGAUUCAAGCAUGAGAGCUUUGGUCUCAAGAUGAAAAACCAGAAUAGUCCAAGUAAUUGAGGACUUUCAACCUGAAUAUAUGGAAUCAGCUUUAAUGUGUACUGUAUGUGGCCAGUCUGGACACCACAACUUCAGACUUAGAGUGGAAUCCUGAAAACAUUACUCGUUUGCUGGAGCAACAAGAGAUGUCAUCUUUGAAUGAAGUUUCUGGAGUUUGUUGGAACCAAUCUCGAGACAUAAGGUCAGAUAUUCCAGAAGCUGAUGAAAGAUCCCAACAAAAUAUAGUGUUGUUCAAUAUAAAAAGAGCAGCUGAAACACCAGGACAUUGCGUUUUUCAAGAAUGCAUGAAUCCUGAGCAAAAUGUUGUGCCUCGAGUUGCCUGUGCCUGUGUUGUGUUGUUGUGCUUUAAGCUAAAAAAAGUCCUGCCUUUUAACUGCCAACAAAAUAAGUUUUUCCAGAAGGAAAAACUUAUUUUGUAUUUAUUGUAACAGAAAGAAACAUGAAUGGUCAGGUCGCUAUCAAAAGCUAUUGCAUUGUAGGCUUAAGAACAGUGGGAUGCUGCUCACAUGUUUAUGAGCAUCAUUUGGUACCUAAGCUAUGCUCGCCAUGAGGGUACUCCUGCCCCUGCCCCUAUCUUAGAUAAAUAUAAUUGUAAUA